rnacentral:rRNA from 1 species
UACGGGGGGAGCAAGCGUUGUUCGGAUUUACUGGGCGUAAAGGGCGCGUAGGCGGCCUCCGCAAGUCAGUUGUGAAAUCUCCGAGCUUAACUCGGAAAGGUCAACUGAUACUGCGGGGCUAGAGUGCGGAAGGGGCAACUGGAAUUCUUGGUGUAGCGGUGAAAUGUGUUGAUAUCAGGAGGAACACCGAUGGCGAAGGCAGCCCCCUGGGCCAAUACUGACGCUCAUGCACGAAAGCGUGGGGAGCAAACAGG